rnacentral:rRNA from 1 species
GAUUAACGCUAGCGGCAGGCAUAAUACAUGCAAGUUGAACGGCAGCACAGGUAGCAAUACUGGGUGGCGAGUGGCGCACGGGUGCGUAACACGUAUGCAACCUACCCUAUACAGGCGAAUAACCUUUAGAAAUGAGGGCUAAUACGCCGUAGUAUUACAGAUGGGCAUCUAUUUGUAAUUAAAGAUUUAUCGGUAUAGGAUGGGUAUGCGUCCCAUUAGUUAGUUGGUAAGGUAACGGCUUACCAAGACGAUGAUGGGUAGGGGAUCUGAGAGGACUUACCCCCACACUGGUACUGAGACACGGACCAGACUCCUACGGGAGGCAGCAGUAAGGAAUAUUGGGCAAUGGCCGCGAGGCUGACCCAGCCAUGCCGCGUGCAGGAAGACGGCCUUAUGGGUUGUAAACUGCUUUUAUACGGGAAUAAUAGAGUGUACGCGUACAUUUAUGCAAGUAUCGUAUGAAUAAGCAUCGGCUAACUCCGUG